AGUGAACGCUGGCGGUAGGCCUAACACAUGCAAGUCGAACGGCAGCACAGUAAGAGCUUGCUCUUACGGGUGGCGAGUGGCGGACGGGUGAGGAAUGCAUCGGAAUCUACUUUUUCGUGGGGGAUAACGUAGGGAAACUUACGCUAAUACCGCAUACGACCUACGGGUGAAAGUAGGGGAUCUUCGGACCUUGCGCGAUUGAAUGAGCCGAUGUCGGAUUAGCUAGUUGGCGGGGUAAAGGCCCACCAAGGCGACGAUCCGUAGCUGGUCUGAGAGGAUGAUCAGCCACACUGGAACUGAGACACGGUCCAGACUCCUACGGGAGGCAGCAGUGGGGAAUAUUGGACAAUGGGCGCAAGCCUGAUCCAGCCAUACCGCGUGGGUGAAGAAGGCCUUCGGGUUGUAAAGCCCUUUUGUUGGGAAAGAAAAGCGGCAGGUUAAUACCCCGCUGUUCUGACGGUACCCAAAGAAUAAGCACCGGCUAACUUCGUG
rnacentral:rRNA from 1 species